AGUGAACGCUGGCGGUAGGCCUAACACAUGCAAGUCGAACGGCAGCACAGUAAGAUCUUGCUCUUACGGGUGGCGAGUGGCGGACGGGUGAGGAAUACAUCGGAAUCUACUUUUUCGUGGGGGAUAACGUAGGUAAACUUACUCUAAUACCGCAUACGACCUACGGGUGAAAGCAGGGGAUCUUCGGACCUUGCGCGAUUGAAUGAGCCGAUGUCGGAUUAGCUAGUUGGCGGGGUAAAGGCCCACCAAGGCGACGAUCCGUAGCUGGUCUGAGAGGAUGAUCAGCCACACUGGAACUGAGACACGGUCCAGACUCCUACGGGAGGCAGCAGUGGGGAAUAUUGGACAAUGGGCGCAAGCCUGAUCCAGCCAUACCGCGUGGGUGAAGAAGGCCUUCGGGUUGUAAAGACCUUUUGUUGGGAAAGAAAAGCAGCAGGUUAAUACCCCGCUGUUCUGACGGUACCCAAAGAAUAAGCACCGGCUAACUUCGUG
rnacentral:rRNA from 1 species